CACACCACUGUAUAGUAAGUCGCUCUGGAUAAGAGCGUCUGCUAAAUGACGUAAA
rfam:Salmo salar isolate Sally breed double haploid chromosome ssa16, whole genome shotgun sequence.